rnacentral:rRNA from 1 species
UACGUAGGGUCCGAGCGUUAAUCGGAAUUACUGGGCGUAAAGCGUGCGCAGGCGGUCUUGUAAGCCAGAUGUGAAAGCCCCGGGCUCAACCUGGGAACUGCAUUUGGGACUGCAAGGCUGGAGUACGGCAGAGGGAGGUGGAAUUCCACGUGUAGCAGUGAAAUGCGUAGAGAUGUGGAGGAACACCGAUGGCGAAGGCAGCCUCCUGGGCUAGUACUGACGCUCAUACACGAAAGCGUGGGGAGCAAACAGG